UUCAGUUUUAUUGGUUGCACGCACAGUCAGUUAUUUCAUCCAGAAAAUCUGAAGGCCCUACAAACUAACCAGAACAGUAAGGGUUGAAACUGAAGGCCGAUUGUGAAUACUAUCCACCGGGAGCUUCUUAUGAAUUGACUCAUGUUCCUCAGAUAAUAAAUAACACUAAAAGACACCAGUUAGCUUCUGACCUCAAGGAGUGCUACUUUCAUCUCCUGCAAGCUUUGAAAAGGGAUCUGAUACCUGACAACAUCUUGACAAAAGCACAUCCCAUCUUCUGAUGGAAGCUGAACCAAAAUUAUUGAUGUCGCUAGUGAUUCAGGGUACUCUAGAUUGUUUGGAGUCCUAUAUAAAUACAUUUAAUAGACAAAAAAAUUGCUGCCUUAAUCUAAGCAGAAAUGACCUUAGUAGAUAGAUACUGCUUACCCCACUGAUGCAUUAGAGCUAUACUAGUUCUACUCCUAAUUCUUGAGAAGCUGUGUUUUCUCUAAUUUAUUUCCUUUUUGAUCUUCACCUAUAGUUUUGCUAGGCUUAUUUGUAACUUCUGUAUCCAUAAAUAAAUAAUCGCUGUGGCUUUAGCAUUAAAUAAUAUCUAUCUAUUUAAUAUUUUGAGUCAUCAUUUUUAUUGUGGCUAAUGAUAAUGACUGGGAAUUAACAGAAAGGUGACAGAUUUCUAAAGAUGCCUUUGAAAAAUGGCUAUUUGCCUCUGUCCUCUCACCUUUGAAAAUAAACUGUAUUUUUUAAUCUUUGUUAUCAAUGAAUAUUAUAAGAUCUGAACACUGUUAUGCUAAUAUAUAUGUGUGCAUCUAUCAUAAGAAAUAUAGAAAAUAUUUAUUACAACUAUUGGCAAGAAUGUGGAGUAACUGGAACUCUCUUACACUGCUGGUUGGAAAAUAAAAUGUUUUAAAUACUUU